rnacentral:lncRNA from 1 species
GAUAGAGAACAGAGGAUUGGAAGGAUGGUUGGAACUGGGCGUCUCUCCCCGUCCUCUUUCUUGGCAUUAUUGGUCAUCGGUCACCAGGUUUCCUGGAGUUCCUGUGAGUGCCCGUGCAGAGCAAGAGGGCUCACCAUCUGACCCUCAAACCCGGACCAGGGCCGUGCACCCCAGCACCACCGAACAGGAUACAGGCAGUACCUGGCCGCUGCUCCUGUGGUUCCUGGCUGGGAGACCCGAACACGCACAGGUACCCUGGUAUCAGGGGCUCAUCUCCAGCCCCGGCUUCCUGCCGUCUCUCUUCAGGACACUCAACUGCAUUCUGUAGCCCGGGAUGACCAGCCACCACCUUCCUGGUGCCCCAGCCCCUUUCCACACUUCCGGCAGAGCAGCCUCUGUCCUCUGACAUCCCCAGACUUCCCUAGCCCCGGCUGUCAUUGUUGCUCAUAGCGCCCCUAUGCAUAGGAAGCUGAGCUGCCCUGGCCCAGCCCCAGUCAGCUCCCACCCUCAGCGCCUGGCCUGUGUCACUUGGCGCAGCUCAGGCAGCUGUGGGAAGCUCAGCCAGCUCUCAGAGCACUGCAUCCUUGUCCUUCGGGAGCACAGACCUGGCGCCUAGAGCUGCUCCCUCCUCCAACCCUUUCCCUGUGUGGCCCCAAGGGCUGAGCCCUGCCCGCCAAUGAGAAGGCCUGAAGGAUGGGGAGACCACCCCUCUGCUCCAGUGAG